rnacentral:rRNA from 1 species
UACGUAGGGUGCAAGCGUUGUCCGGAAUUAUUGGGCGUAAAGAGCUCGUAGGCGGUUUGUUGCGUCGGCUGUGAAAUCCCGAGGCUCAACCUCGGGUCUGCAGUCGAUACGAGCAAACUAGAGUGUUGCAGGGGAGACUGGGAAUUCCUGGUGUAGCGGUGAAAUGCGCAGAUAUCAGGAGGAACACCGGUGGCGAAGGCGGGUCUCUGGGCCGAUACUGACGCUGGAGGAGCGAAAAGCGUGGGGGAGCGAACAGG